GAGGAACUCCUGACAUGGGCUCUGGAUCCGAGAUCUGGAGCCAAUCUCCCAUUGUCGACCAGGACGGUGAGAGCGUUGAAGGAGGUGGAAGCUUUCGCAUUGACGGCUGACGAGCUGAAAUUUGUGGCUGGCCAGUUCAGACGGCUUCACAGCAGGCAGGUGCAACACACGUUUCGCUUCUAUUCUCAGCAGUGGAGGACGUGGGCGGCGUCGUUCAUCCAAGCAGCGUGGCGGCGUCACUGCAAGAGGAAGGCUGCGGAAGUCCGGCGCAGGGAGGAGGCACCUGAAUU
rnacentral:misc_RNA from 1 species